rnacentral:rRNA from 1 species
GAUGAACGCUGGCGGCGUGCUUAACACAUGCAAGUCGAACGGGGAUUAUUUCAUUGAAGCUUCGGCAGAUUUGGCUUAAUCCUAGUGGCGGACGGGUGAGUAACGCGUGGGUAACCUGCCUUGUACAGGGGGAUAACAGUCAGAAAUGACUGCUAAUACCGCAUAAGCGCACAGGACCGCAUGGUCCGGUGUGAAAAACUCCGGUGGUAUAAGAUGGACCCGCGUUGGAUUAGCUUGUUGGCAGGGUAACGGCCUACCAAGGCGACGAUCCAUAGCCGGCCUGAGAGGGUGAACGGCCACAUUGGGACUGAGACACGGCCCAGACUCCUACGGGAGGCAGCAGUGGGGAAUAUUGCACAAUGGGGGAAACCCUGAUGCAGCGACGCCGCGUGAAGGAAGAAGUAUCUCGGUAUGUAAACUUCUAU